UUGGAGGGCAAGUCUGGUGCCCGCAGCCGCGGUAAUUCCAGCUCCAAUAGCGUAUAUUAAAGUUGUUGCAGUUAAAAAGCUCGUAGUUGAAUUUCGGGAUCAAUUUGCUGGUCGUGCCUUCGGUACGCACUGGUAUUAUUGGUUUCUCCUUUCUGAUGAAUCGCGAUGUCAUUAAUUUGGUGUCGUGGGGAAUCAGGACUGUUACUUUGAAAAAAUUAGAGUGUUUAAAGCAGGCUCACGCUUGAAUACAUAAACAUGGAAUAAUGAAAUAGGACGUUUGAUUCUAUUUUGUUGGUUUCUAGGAUCGACGUAAUGAUUAAUAGGGAUAGUUGGGGGCAUUAGUAUUCAAUUGUCAGGGGUGAAAUUCUUGGAUUUAUUGAAGACUAACUACUGCGAAAGCAUUUGCCAAGGAUGUUUUCAUUAAUCAAGAACGAAAGUUAGGGGAUCGAAGACGAUCAGAUACCGUCGUAGUCUUAACCAUAAACUAUGCCGACUAGGGAUCGGAUGAUGUUAAUUUUUUAAUGACUCAUUCGGCGCCUUACGGGAAAC
rnacentral:rRNA from 1 species